rnacentral:misc_RNA from 1 species
GACUUACUCUUUUUUUUUUUUAAUUACUCCUUUUGUUGUGCAAUUUAAAUUGUGAUAUGGAUCCAUUGAUAUGUUGUUCCGACGUUUCUUUUGGGUCAACAUUCAUAUUAAUUACAUGGUUUCCUAUAUCUAUUUACUUCACUUGGAUAGCUAAUUAUUCAAUCAGAUUCAAUUCAAUAAAGGAAUUAUUACAGCUGCUAAUAUUUGUAUCAAUUUGUUUGUGUAGUG